GGCGAACGGGUGAGUAACACGUGAGUAACCUGCCCCCUUCUUCUGGAUAACCUCAUGAAAGUGGGGCUAAUACGGGAUAUUCUGGUCUGGUCGCAUGGCUGGGCUGGGAAAGAUGCGCCUUUUGGGUGUUUUUGGGGGGGGAUGGGCUCGCGGCCUAUCAGCUUGUUGGUGGGGUGAUGGCCUACCAAGGCGGUGACGGGUAGCCGGUCUGAGAGGGUGGACGGCCACACUGGGACUGAGACACGGCCCACACUCCUACGGGAGGCAGCAGGGGGGAAUAUUGCACAAUGGGCGCAAGCCUGAUGCAGCGACGCCGCGUGAGGGAUGGAGGCCUUCGGGUUGUGAACCUCUUUCGCCAGUGAAGCAGGCCUGCUCCUGUGUGGGUGGGUUGACGGUAGCUGGAUAAGAAGCGCCGGCUAACUACGUGCCAGCAGCCGCGGUAAUACGUAGGGCGCGAGCGUUGUCCGGAAUUAUUGGGCGUAAAGAGCUCGUAGGCGGCUGGUCGCGUCUGUCGUGAAAUCCUCUGGCUUAACUGGGGGCUUGCGGUGGGUACGGGCCGGCUUGAGUGCGGUAGGGGAGACUGGAAUUCCUGGUGUAGCGGUGGAAUGCGCAGAUAUCAGGAGGAACACCGGUGGCGAAGGCGGGUCUCUGGGCCGUUACUGACGCUGAGGAGCGAAAGCGUGGGGAGCGAACAGGAUUAGAUACCCUGGUAGUCCACGCCGUAAACGUUGGGCACUAGGUGUGGGGGGCCUUUUCCGGGUUCUUCCGCGCCGUAGCUAACGCAUUAAGUGCCCCGCCUGGGGAGUACGGCCGCAAGGCUAAAACUCAAAGGAAUUGACGGGGGCCCGCACAAGCGGCGGAGCAUGCGGAUUAAUUCGAUGCAACGCGAAGAACCUUACCAAGGCUUGACAUGAGGGCGAUCGCCUCGGAGACGGGGCUUCCUUUUUGGCGCUCUUACAGGUGGUGCAUGGUUGUCGUCAGCUCGUGUCGUGAGAUGUUGGGUUAAGUCCCGCAACGAGCGCAACCCCUUUCCUGUGUUGCCAGCAC
rnacentral:rRNA from 1 species